GAAUAAUCAAGACAAACUUGAAAACCAAGUAGGAUCGAGUUUUGUAUCUUAAAUCUGCAAAAGAAUACAACUAUUUUUCCGAAUCAGCCAAUCAUAAAAAUAGCAAGAAAAGUCAUUGCUACCAAAAAGAUUCUAGUUAGUGGCAAGAUUCUAGUUAGUGGUCCUACUCAACUUGUAACAUCCAUGUCUCUUUUUCUGAAAAUUAAUAUAACUUAAAAGCUUUUAGAUUUAACUGCAGGAGGUAAGACUAGUCGAAAAUGGUUCGCUCGGCUUUAGGUGGUCAAUUGUCGACCGUCUCGUCUCAUCUUCCAUUGAGAUCACUUUAAAUCAUCAUUCAAAGUUCUCUCUCUCUCUCUCUUAUUAUUAUUUUUUCUACAUCUUUGUGCCCACAAAAUGGAUGUGCACCAGUUCUAAAUGACACCAACUGAAUAGUGAUUUAGCAUUUUUUUUCCCCGAAAUUUUGGCCGUAGAGCUGUUAUUUCUUCUAUGGGGCUUGGCUUGUAGUUAGUGGUACAGCUUUCUUCCAACUUUUCUAUGUGAACCAAAUAGUUUAAUUUUUAAUGAUAUGAUCUCAGGGAUAAUGCAUAAGCAUCUUCUUUCA
rnacentral:misc_RNA from 1 species